AUGGCUCUGACUCCUCUUUUCCUUCUCCUGCUUCUGUCUCACUACACAGGGGUGAAUUCUCAGACUGUGGUGACCCAGGAGUCAUCAUCGUUGGUUUCUCCAGGAGGGACAGUAAUACUCAUUUGUGGCCUUAAUUCUGGAUCAGUGUCUACUGGUUACUACCCAAACUGGUUUAAGCAGAUCCCAGGCCAAGCUCCCUACACGCUUAUCUAUAGCACAAACUGCCUCUCUGGGGUCCCUGAUUGCUUCUCUGGUGCCAGCACAGGGAAUAAAGCCUCCCUCACCAUCACAGGAGCUCAGAUGGAGGAUGAUGCUGAUUAUUACUGUGCAUUGUUUAUGGGAAGUGGCAUUUACACAGUGAUCCAAACCCAUGGGAAAGUGCUACAAAAACUUGUUCAUAUUCUCAGAAUGGAUCAGCCCAAACAUGCAGAAGGGAAGGUGAAGGUGUGA